GGGUCAUUAGUAUAGUGGUAGUAUGCCUGCUUCGGGUGUUACGAAGCUCUGCUGACUUGUGUUUGCAAACUGCAGGAGACCCCGGAUCGAGCCCGGGAUGACCCC